GAUUAGACCUAAGGUUAGAAUCAAAAACUUAAUGGACUAAAAAGAGUAGUUGAUCAAAUCUAACUAAUAGUUGAUUUAGAUUAGGUCAAGGGUACCCUACAUCAAACACAGUAGUUAUAGUUGAUCGAGUCUGUAUCUUUGAUUAAACCAAAUAAACCUUGAUCAAGGCUCAAUGGUUGACCCUGAGUCAUUGGGUUGAUU
rnacentral:lncRNA from 1 species